rnacentral:rRNA from 1 species
UACAGAGGUCUCAAGCGUUGUUCGGAUUCAUUGGGCGUAAAGGGUGUGUAGGUGGCGCCGUAAGUCGGGUGUGAAAUUUCGGAGCUUAACUCCGAAACUGCAUUCGAUACUGCCGUGCUUGAGGACUGGAGAGGAGACUGGAAUUUACGGUGUAGCGGUGAAAUGCGUAGAUAUCGUGAGGAACACCAGAGGCGAAGGCGGUUACCUGGACAGUUACUGACGCUCAGGCACGAAAGCAUGGGGAGCAAAAGGG